UACCUUCAAAUACUAUCAGGGAUUAGCCAGUUUAAAAAAAUCACCUGGGCCGGGCGUGAGCCACCCUGUCCGGCUGAACUGCUAUCAAGUUCUUAAGGCUAUUGCUGGGAGCAGUAAUUUGGUGACAGAUUUAAUAUAUUAAGAGAAAAUCCCAGGGGUAAACAUCUUAUCUAAAGGAACUCAAGCAGACAAAGGGUAAAAUAUUUUUAUUGACACCUAGAUUGUCUUUAUUUCGGUAUGUUUUCAAAGGGCACUCACUGUUUGACUGCAUUCUAAAAAGUACCAAGAAUUGUUUUUCCUCCGUGGUGGCUCAUAUGGGUGAGGGCUUGGAGACCUGCAGGCCACAUGAUCCUUUAUUUUGGUGGGCUGGGGAAGAGUUAAGGC
rnacentral:lncRNA from 10 species